UAGGGAAUCUUCGGCAAUGGGGGGAACCCUGACCGAGCAACGCCGCGUGAGUGAAGAAGGUUUUCGGAUCGUAAAGCUCUGUUGUUAAGGAAGAACGAGUGUGAGAAUGGAAAGUUCAUGCUGUGACGGUACUUAACCAGAAAGGGACGGCUAACUACGUGCCAGCAGCCGCGGUAAUACGUAGGGGGCUAGCGUUAUCCGGAUUUACUGGGCGUAAAGGGUGCGUAGGUGGUCCUUCAAGUCGGUGGUUAAAGGCUACGGCUCAACCGUAGUAAGCCGCCGAAACUGGAGGACUUGAGUGCAGGAGAGGAAAGUGGAAUUCCCAGUGUAGCGGUGAAAUGCGUAGAUAUUGGGAGGAACACCAGUAGCGAAGGCGGCUUUCUGGACUGCAACUGACACUGAGGCACGAAAGCGUGGGUAGCAAACAGG
rnacentral:rRNA from 1 species